GUAUAAAAGAAAGUUAUUUGUGCUCAUUAAACGAGUUCUACUUGACUCUCAACUCGCAGCAUUGACUCGUGUUUGGAGGGGACAGUUAUAAUCACUACAGGGAUUGCUAUGCUCUGCAUAUUCCCUUAGCUUCAUUGAGCUCUUGUAAGAGCUCUUGUUCCUGAUCCUGCUUCGCUCUCUGGGAGGAAGAGAGGUUCCCCCACUGGAACCUGGAGCCUUGUCGUAGGUCCAGGGUGGGUAGAAGACGGUGAGACCCCAACCAAG